UCAACCAUAAAAUUGCCAUUGAAACUGGGAGACUUGAGUAUGUUUGAGGUAGGCGGAAUGCGUGGUGUAGCGGUGAAAUGCAUAGAUAUCACGCAGAACUCCGAUUGCGAAGGCAGCUUGCCAAGCCAUAACUGACACUGAAGCACGAAAGCGUGGGUAUCAAACAGGAUUAGAUACCCUGGUAGUCCACGCAGUAAACGAUGAUUACUAGGAGUUUGCGAUAAAAUGUAAGCUCUACAGCGAAAGCGUUAAGUAAUCCACCUGGGGAGUACGCCGGCAACGGUGAAACUCAAAGGAAUUGACGGGGGCCCGCACAAGCGGAGGAACAUGUGGUUUAAUUCGAUGAUACGCGAGGAACCUUACCCGGGUUUGAACGCAGUCCGACCGCCGAUGAAAGUCGGCUUCUAGCAAUAGCGGAUUGCGAGGUGCUGCAUGGUUGUCGUCAGCUCGUGCCGUGAGGUGUCGGCUUAAGUGCCAUAACGAGCGCAACCCUUGCCGUUAGUUACUAACAAGUUAUGUUGAGGACUCUAGCGGGACUGCCAGCGUAAGCUGUGAGGAAGGCGGGGAUGACGUCAAAUCAGCACGGCCCUUACAUCCGGGGCGACACACGUGUUACAAUGGCGUGGACAAAGAGCAGCCACUUGGCGACAAGGAGCUAAUCUCCAAACCACGUCUCAGUUCGGAUCGGAGUCUGCGACUCGACUCCGUGAAGCUGGAUUCGCUAGUAAUCGCGCAUCAGCCAUGGCGCGGUGAAUACGUUCCCGGGCCUUGUACACACCGCCCGUCAAGCCAUGGGAGCCGGGGGUACCUGAAGUCCGUAACCGUGAGGAUCGGCCUAGGGUAAAACUGGUGACUGGGGCUAAGUCGUAACAAGGUAACCA
rnacentral:rRNA from 1 species